GACAAGGUGAGAAGAGAGAAGGGGAGCUCAUAAAACCCGCACGCAUGAGAGGUGUUUCUUGUUUCAGCAGCACUGGACGUCGCACCGUCUGCUCUGUCGUGCUCUCUGUUAACUUCAGUUAGCGAAACGGAGUGACGCGAACCGCAAACACGCGUCGCGGGACUUCUGGAGACCCUCAACGGAGACUGCCUUUAGAGGUUGUAGCGACGGCGCCCACGCGCGCGUCUUUUUUUGUUGUUGCUGUCUCGCUCGCUCUUAUCUCUUUCUGCUGCUGUGAUGUCUUGCGCACAAGUGGAUAUGUCUGAUACCCAAGCAGCUCCGUCACGGGCGAAAAGCCGCCGCACGUGCGCUGUGUAUUUUGGAGCCACGACUUUUGUCGAAAUCGAUGAUGAUCCCUCUACAAUCACUCUGGAAGAGCUAUGUGAGGCGUUUGGCACGCCAUGGGAGAGCGGCAUGCACGUGAAGCACCGUGCCACCGGACGCGUCGUGGUUACCCUCCCCUUUGAGCCGCUGCCAACGCUCGAAGAGGUGUCAGACGUCAUCAUCAAGGCGGAGAGCACGACGGCGACCACGCACACGGGCGAUUUAACGGUUCCAACAGCCUACGACAACGCUGAGGAGGAUGUGGAUGGCGCCGAGGAGGGAGAGACGACGUACGCCGUCGUGUACGACCUUGUUACCCCGACGCCGCCUGGCGACAAUGGAGACAGCGAGCUAGCGGCGGCCGUAGCCGCGGCAGGCCUGUCGGAAAACCUUUCGGCAGAUUCAGACGGUGCUUCCAACAUCGGGGAGACGAUGCGGAAGCUUGUCGAGCUCGGCGCAGCAGAGCUACUCACCGCCGAGCCCUUGUCCGUAUCUCAGGCGAGGCGGGAAUACAAUCCGCCAGAUGCCCCGGGCCUCUUGCGUCGCAUCGUGUAUCCUGCUUCGGAGUACUCUCCAUACCGCCUCGAUCGCGACCCGCUCUACGAUGGCAAGCUUUCCUUGUACCGGUCUCCUGCUGUGACCGCUAGCUUUGCGUCGGGGCCCUCGCCGGUCAGCUGCACCGGUUCGCAUGCGCUGCCGACGCAGGACUUUGGUGAGGGAGGACUGUACACCAGUUACCUCGAUAGUUACGACCUGAGUUGUCCGAUGAGGGAGCCGUUUGUGAGGUCGUUCGCGGCUGGAAAGGCGGCGCUCGUAAUGCCUCUGUCGGAUGAAGAGCAUCAUCGCAUUUUCGGCACGUAAGUGGAUCCCUCAGGGGGGGGAGGGGGCUGUUUCCUUUCCUGAUGCUAUUUUGUUUUUCUCGGGUCUGCCACUUUUCUGGUGUGUGUGUGUGUGUAUGCGUGUAGAGAUGUAGAUGGGUGUUUGCAUACAACGAGGUCAAAAGUUCUUCUCGUUACCUUUCUUUGUGCCGGUUGCGGCCCCAAUCGCGGAUGCAGCACUCCACAAGGUGUGCGGAGGCCCGAGCUGUGUAGGAGGGGAGAAAACAGAGAAGACUUCCUGUACGCGCACCGUAAGUAUGUUUUUGUGUGUGUGGGAGGUGGAAAGGAAGGACUAUACCGCAUAUUAUGGUUCGGUUUUUUUUUGCUGCUGUGUAGGCCUCUCUCUGUAGGACGUG
rnacentral:misc_RNA from 1 species